GAUGGGACAAAAGCCACAAAUAAGGUGUUCCACUGAUCGUACAGGAGAACCAUUUUCUCCUCAAAAGGAGCCCUGCUAUGGACUCCUCAAACCAAAUGAAACUUGGCAUUUUGUCUCUUCCACAAGUCUGCUGGCAAAGGAUUCCUGGCCUCUUUGUGACUUUGAUUAUCUCCAAGUCAUCAUUCUGGUAUUAUGGAAUUUGAAAAUGCCAUGCUUUUAUCCACUUCACUUUCUAAAGGGAUUUACCACAGCAGGUUUGGGACUUAGCAGAGGUCAUUUGAGAAUCAUCUCAAGAAAACAGAUGGUGAGAAGAUCCAGAUCAUCUAAAUCUUACAUUGUUAGCUUCUGUCAUAAAACCAAACUUGAAAGCUGCAAGUAUGCUCCUUUAAUUCUUAGGCUCGGGUAUUGCAUUUAUCAUAUCACUGCCCGACUCAACUUCCUUACCCAUAAAAUGGAGAUUAUUAUAGGACUUGGUCCCCAAGGUUGUGAGAAUCAAACGAAAUAUUAGUAAAAUGCUUAGUUAACACCUUAAGGUGCUACAGAAUGCUACUAUAAAUGCUAACCUUAAAGUGUUAUAUAAAGGCUAUUUAAAAAUUAUUGUGUAUUAUAGCCAGGUAUUACUUCCUUGCAUUAUUAUAACCAGGAAUUCCCUCCUUACAAAGAUAUUUUAGACACACACAAUAUGAAUGUCUGGUGUGUGUGUGUGUGUGUGUGUGGAUUUGAUCACAGGUGGAAUGUGUUUUGUCCCUAGGUACCAAGUAGAGAAAAGUACAAUACUGAUGUGGGCUAAAGUGUCCCAUAGACUGUAAAUAACUUGAAAAAUAGAGACAAUAACUAGUUGAUAAGGCAUGAUAAGACAUGUGAGUUGUUUAGAUUCACAGGUAUAAGAAAACUCCUCACAUCAAUAUUUAGACAUAACCUAGGUCCUUCAGUGGAGGUCUCUGAACAGCAAGUACCGUAGGUUCAGUUCCCCAGUCACACAGAAGUAGGUUCAAAUAAUGCUAUAUUUCCACAAUCCCUGCCUUGCUUGGAGUCUCUGCAGAAAAAAGCAAAACUUGACCUAAAGUUGCCCCAGGGUAUUUAACAUAUCAUUAGCAUCUCAUUUACAUUGCCUUUCAGUGGGCAAACUGAGUGAACCAUGGGUAAAGCCAUGAGGACCAAAGUGGACCAUGGGUAAAAUGACAUCAGUUCCCUGGAGACACCAGGGCAACAACUGUCCAAACGAAUGACCCCUUCCUUGGAAACUAAUCAAGAUAAAAAAUGUUCCUGAGAACCCCUUCCCACCUUUUACCUUUAUUCAUCACAUCUCCUUACCUCCUUUCCUUUUGUUACUUAUUUACUUACUAUACUAGCUAGCUAACUGUCUAUAGUCACUCAGUAACUAUAGUCUCUAAUAAUAAAGCUUGUUUCCUAGCAAUGAAAUCA
rnacentral:lncRNA from 1 species